ensembl:lncRNA
UGGCAAGAGGAUCAGUGUCGAUUUCAAGAAAAUACAGAAAAUAUUUUUACCAAGAAGAGUCCAGCAGCAGGCAGCAGACCCCCCUGGGCUCAGCUGUGUCUCCUUGUAGAGCGACUGGUCGAUGGAACAACCUGCUAGGUUUGGAGUCGGAAAUCAGUCUAUUGAGCCAAGGACUACUGGUCUCCGGUCUACUAUGGAUGAGGAGAGAGAGGAGGGGCAUCCUACCUUUAAGACCACUCUGUCUGGGGAACAUGGCUGCCAGAGCAAUGCUAAGAGAAGAAUCCAACAGCAGACAGCAGACUCCCCUGGACCCAGUUGUGUCAUUUUGAAGAACGGCUGGUCUAUGGAAAAUUCUGCUAGGUCUGGAGACGGAAAUCAGUCUACUGAGCCAAGUAACAAAAGAUCUAGAAGAGUCCAGCAGCAGACAGCAGAGCCCCAUGGAACCAGUUGUAUCUCCAUGAGGAGUAACAGCUCUACUAUACAACCUGUUGGGUUUGGAGAUGGCAAUGAGUCUACUCAGCCAAGGCGUCACAUCCAACAAUCUGAGCAGAUCUCUCACUGUCUGUGAAUGUUGUCCAUCUCAGAACUCAUCAGUGAUACAGCAUGACACCAUCAUAAGUCUGAGUAAAAGCUGUGUGUGUGUAGCCUGGCUAUUGUCAGACCAAGCUCAAUCGUAGCUUGCACGUUGGUCUGGGGAAGCAGCUGUCAUUUUCUUCAGCACAGGAGGCUUGAUCAAUGGGCCUAGUUCAAAUGACAAUACACAAUUGGCUGCUUGCCGUAGCUUCCCUGUUGUCAUUGUGUUAAACCAGCCAAUAGCGCACAAGAGGGGAAAGCCAGCUUGGUGAUUGGCUCCAGCAAAAACUUAGCCCAGAGCAGCAGGAGAGAGCAAACCCCCCCGGACCCAGCUGUGGCUUGUUUAAGAGUGACCAGUCUAUGACACAACCUAUUCUAUUUAAAGAUGUAAAUAUUUCUAUUGAUCAAAGGUCAGGGUCUGUCAGAUUUUAAAAUAUAUCAGCCAAACAUCCAAGAGUCCUACACUGUAAAAACAAAAACUUAAAAUUUUUGGUCUCAUUAUGAUUUCUGAGUAAAAUGAAUAUAAAACAUUAAGUAUUCAUGUCAACUGUGCAAUGCAAUUUAGUCCAACCAACAAUGUUGAGUUUUGGGUCAAGAGUUGGGCUCACUGUGAUAUCCUUGUUAGCAAGACACACGGGUUUAAGUCAGACUCUGAGGCUGG